GAUGAAGAACGCAGCGAAAUGCGAAAAGUAAUGUGAAUUGCAGAAUUCAGUGAAUCAUCGAAUCUUUGAACGCACAUUGCGCCCCUUGGUAUUCCGAGGGGCAUGCCUGUUCGAGCGUCAUUUCAACCCUCAAGCACAGCUUGGUCUUGGGCUUCGCCGCUAACCCGGCGGGUCUUAAAAUCAGUGGCGGUGCCGUCGGGCCCUGAGCGCAGUAAUCUCUCUCGCUAUAGGGUCCCGGCGGAUGCUGGCCAGUAACCCCCAAUUUUCUAUGGUUGACCUCGGAUCAGGUAGGGAUACCCGCUGAACUUAAGCAUAUCAAUAAGCGGAGGA
rnacentral:misc_RNA from 1 species